UACGAAGGGGGCUAGCGUUGCUCGGAUUUACUGGGCGUAAAGGGCUCGUAGGCGGCCAACUAAGUCGGAUGUGAAAUCCCCAGGCUCAACUUGGGAACUGCAUCCGAUACUGGAUGGCUUGAAUUCGGGAGAGGGAUGCAGAAUUCCAGGUGUAGCGGUGAAAUGCGUAGAUAUCUGGAGGAAUACCGGUGGCGAAGGCGGCAUCCUGGACCGACAUUGACGCUGAGGAGCGAAAGCUAGGGGAGCAAACGGG
rnacentral:rRNA from 1 species